CCUACGGGCGGCAGCAGUGGGGAAUAUUGGGCAAUGGGCGAAAGCCUGACCCAGCAACGCCGCGUGAAGGAAGAAGGCUUUCGGGUUGUAAACUUCUUUUGACAGGGAAGAGCAGAAGACGGUACCUGUCGAAUAAGCCACGGCUAACUACGUGCCAGCAGCCGCGGUAAUACGUAGGUGGCAAGCGGUGUCCGGAUUUACUGGGGGUAAAGGGCGUGUAGCCGGGCUGACAAGUCAGAGGUGAAAUCCGGGGGCUCAACCCCCGAACUGCAUUUGAAACUGUUGGUCUUGAGUAUCGGAGAGGCAGGCGGAAUUCCUAGUGUAGCGGUGAAAUGCGUAGAUAUUAGGAGGAACACCAGUGGCGAAGGCGGCCUGCUGGACGACAACUGACGGUGAGGCGCGAAAGCGUGGGGAGCAAACAGGAUUAGAUACCCUUGUAGUC
rnacentral:rRNA from 1 species